UUAUAAAUAAUUACGAAACUCACUCAGCACAAUGAUUUCCAAUUUUAAAAAGUAUUGAAAAGUUUGAGUUUCGAGUUUAAAUUGCCGUUAAAAUUAGCAAAUUCGAGUGAAAUCUGGUUGUCUUUCUUGGUUGAUUCACAAUAUCGUCGCUAGAUGGCGCCUCGUUGCUACGUACGCUAGUGCGCGAAAAUGGAAGUUCGAGUAGACUACACGGUUUCGGGACACUACGCAAACAGUUUCACAAGUCUGUAUAAAGCCGAUCCAGAAUAAACAACUCCAGUGACCCUUUGUAAUUGUUGCAGAGACAUAACAAGACAUCUGCAAGGUUUAAAACUUAGUGAUGGCCGACAAACAACCUGCCAACCCAGCCGCGGACAGCGAAGGAAGUCAUACCCCAAAGAAUCACAUUAUAUACAGGACUCAGAACUUUGACAAUCACAGACCCUGUCAGAACAUCAAACUGGACUGAUGAGGCAGAAUAUAUCUUACAGAAUGUUUCAACAAGCGAAAAGUCGAAGAAUGUGUUGACCCAGUGCUUAAUCUGAUUGCACCAGGGCAAUCAGAGAAAUUAAAACAAUUGAUUAUGUUAGGACCUUAAACAACUCCAACAGAUAAAGAGCUUACAAACUACAUGUAUAUGAGGAGAUAACUAACAUUGAACUUCACACUCAAAUUUUUUCAAUGUCAAAAAACUAUGUUAAUAUAUAUAACAGUAAUAAGAUGUACAUGUAUAACUAAUUUAUGUAGAAGAUAAGUGCAUAUAUGUAAGUCCCUUUUUCACUGAUUGUCCAUUAUACAUGUAUAGAAAGAAUAAAGAAAUUUUAUAUCUGAUCAUUACUUCAAGAAAAAUUAUGUGUAAUUAGCAUUAAGAAAGACAAAUUUAGCUGCAUGGUUAAUAACCAAGGAAGACAGAACAAUAACUAAUGAUUAAGUUAAUUGAAUUUCUAAUAUAAAAAAAGAAUCUCAAAAUGCUAUGAUAUUUAUAUAAUAACAAGUGAAAUACUUUGUACUUAUCAUGAUAUAUCAUGAUUUCAUCUUUAAUUACUAAUAUGUGUAUUUAUGUAAUUACCAUGAUGGUAGCUACAUUAUUUGGACUACAUACAGUGUUUUCCCCAGAAAAUGUUUGAUGCAUGGGGGGAAAUUUGUCAGAGUAGGUGCACGGUGCAGUGUUAAAGGGCCCACACUGGGGCAAAAACACUUCGGGUAAAAAUAAUAUAACCAUCUGAUGAAAUGUACUGCAUGAUAUGCACUAUAAUUAAUGCAUUUUCAUGAAAUUCAUAUUUUGUAUUUAUGUAAUUACCAUGAUGGUAGCUACAUUUUUGGACUACAUAUACAUGUAUAUAGGAAUAUUCUAAUAGCAUAAAUUUGUAUACACAGCAUUUACCCAACUGCUGCACAUUCAUAUAAAUGUAUGCACUAUUUUUAUCCCCCCUUCGAAGAAGGUAUGGCAUAUCACUUUGCUGCUGUGCGUCUCUCUCUCUGUCUGUCUGUUGGUCAGACGGCCAGUCCACCAACAGUUAUCAUUCAUUUUCUUCACAGGGGUUCCACAUUUUGAAAUGAAAUUUGGUAUACAGAUUUAUCUGAAUAAGAUCUAGGCAAAGUUAUUUUUUGGGUAUGAUUGAGCAAUUUUUGACCUUGGAAUUAAAAAAAAUUCCAAUUAUUUGCAUUUUCUUCUCAGAUGUUUCCAAAGGAGGGGGCAUAGUUGUUUCACAAACAUGUCUUGUUUGUGUGCAAUCGUUCACUUAGGAUUUUCUUUUUAAAAAAUUGUAAACUUUUAGCCUUUCCAGGGUCCAAAUUGAGGGAAAAAAAUCAAUAUGUAAUCUAUUGGUUGAUGUUUGAUAUAGCCAUCUAUAGUAUGUGUGAUACAUUUUGACAUGUAUGGUGUCAUGUAUAUCGAGUUAUUCAUGUGCAACUUGUUUAUUAUAUGUAUGACUGGAAGUCAGUUUAAUAAAGUACUUGUUAUGGUGUCACACA